rnacentral:lncRNA from 10 species
AGUUGGAUCAUUGAGUCCUCAGUGUAACUAUUCCUCAUGCUCAUGGAUGAAAAGUUUGGAAAAUAAUCUAUGGAUUAGCAUAUGGUGAAGAUCCUUCAAAUUAAAUGGCAUUAAUGAGACAGCCAGGUGGGAGGGGGUCCCUGGACCAGCCUGCUCACUGGGGUGAAGCCUUGGGAAGUUCAUGCCAUUUGUGUGGGGAGGAGCCUGGCCCCUCUUUUUCCUGUGUGGAACCUGGGAUUCAAACUGCCUGGCCUUGCAAGAGUUCCUGUUUCCCUCUUUUUUCCGUUUUAACCCAAUAAAACCCUGCUUUACUCACCCU